CCGCCUGGCGUGCGAUAAUGCCCCGGUAAGGCAACGAUGGUGCAGGAAGCCGGUGUGAAUCCGGCACGGUCCCGCCACUGUGAUCGGGGAGCGACCCUCAACAGCCACGGCUCUGAUGGAGCUGGAAGGCGAGGCGAGCGUUGAUCCGAGAGUCAGGACACUCACAUCGUCGCAUCCUGCGAC
rnacentral:ncRNA from 2 species